CUUCUACUGUAGUCCUUUCUUUUUGUAAUCAAGUUAGUCUAUGCUUGUGGUUACUAGUUCGAGCAGGUUUGGUUCUGCUGGUCUAAUGGUUUGCGCUGGUAAAGAUAUUUUCACUCUUUUUGCAGUCUGUAGUGGUGAAGGUCUCUACCAUCCUUGUUCUUUUGUCGUUUCUGGAAGUGGUUUUUGGGGCCAUGGAUUGCUGCUUAUUGUGAUUCUUUAAAUCUGUAAACUUUGUUAUGAUGUGGAUCGCGUUGCAGAACUUUGAUGAUGAUGAUCCCAAUUUUAAUCCAUUCUGUGUCGCCAUAUUGUAAAAGCACAAAGCGUUCUGGGUCAAAAAAUCGAUUUCUCGACACCGCAAUGAGCGAGACCACAGCCGAAACCUCUACGUGCCCUUCCAGAGCACGAGUAAUGGAGACGAUUUAUUAAAAA